AUUGAACGCUGGCGGCAUGCUUUACACAUGCAAGUCGAACGGCAGCGCGGGCUUCGGCUUGGCGGCGAGUGGCGAACGGGUGAGUAAUGCAUCGGAACGUGCCCAGUAGUGGGGGAUAGCCCGGCGAAAGACGGAUUAAUACCGCAUACGACCUGAGGGUGAAAGCGGGGGAGCGAAAGGCCUCGCGCUCUUGGAGCGGCCGAUGUCGGAUUAGCUAGUUGGUGGGGUAAAGGCUUACCAAGGCGACGAUCCGUAGCUGGUCUGAGAGGACGACCAGCCACACUGGGACUGAGACACGGCCCAGACUCCGACGGGAGGCAGCGGUGGGGAAUUUUGGACAAUGGGGGCAACCCUGAUCCAGCCAUGCCGCGUGCGGGAAGAAGGCCUUCGGGUUGUAAACCGCUUUUGUGCGGGAAGAAAUCCUCUGGGCUAAUACCCCGGGGGGAGAACGGAACCGGAAGAAUAAGCACCGGCUAACUACGG
rnacentral:rRNA from 1 species